rnacentral:tRNA from 2 species
GCCGACGUAGCUCAGCGGUAGAGCAGCUGUUUUGUAAACAGCAGGUCGUCAGUUCGAACCUGACCGUCGGCUCCA